AUGAAAUCCACAGUCUUGUUUAAAAUAGCUUGAAUCUCCUGCUGGCGAGAACAAAGGCCACUUCCCGCAGCUGACGGACGUAGCUGGAUCAAAGAACAAGCAGAGAAGCACAAGACAAACAGCCGAGUCUCCUCAGUUCCAACAGUGCAAAUGCCUGUAAUGAAUAUUAGCUCAAACGGAAGGUAUUUAUGGUUAAGCUAUUGCACACCAUCUCCGACAUCUGUCAUCCAGAAUCUACUUCAGUCCAGACUGGGGUAAAGAAGAGCACUGAUCUGAGUCUGACCCCUGAUCCCAAAAGCUGAAACAAAGUGUUCAGUAAUUGUCUAUUAAACAGGAAACAAAUC